CCAAAAGACUGGCGACCGGCGCACGGAUGAGUAACACGUAUCCAACCUGCCUCAUACUCGGGGAUAGCCUUUCGAAAGAAAGAUUAAUAUCCGAUAGCAUAUAUUUCCCGCAUGGGUUUUAUAUUAAAGAAAUUCGGUAUGAGAUGGGGAUGCGUUCCAUUAGUUUGUUGGGGGGGUAACGGCCCACCAAGACUACGAUGGAUAGGGGUUCUGAGAGGAAGGUCCCCCACAUUGGAACUGAGACACGGUCCAA
rnacentral:rRNA from 1 species